ACUGAAUAUCACCACUGACUUUUUUCAACGUCAUGUGAAACAAAGAAUCACUUGAAUUUGUGGUCCACAAAAUUGAAAAAAAUAAUGACAACACCCAAUGCUGGAGAAAAUGCAAAGAAACUGGAUUGCUGGAACUAAGUUCUAUCCGUGGCCAAAAGAGAACUCUCUAGGGACUUGGUCAUGAGACAUUCCAAGGCAAUUUCCGAUGUGCACAGUCCCACGGAGUUGGUCUGAGUCAUUUGGGAUGCAAUGGAAAAAACUCCUAACCGAACAUCAGAUCUGCUGCCUCUA